rnacentral:rRNA from 1 species
UGGAUUCCCCCUCCAUCAGGUUUCACAAAACUGAAUGUAGAUGCUGCAGUUGGAAGGGGCAGUAGACACGGCUUGGUUGUGGCGAUAUCAGGAGACUCUGAUGGCCUAUUCCUGGGAGCGUCGGCGGUGGUUUUUGCAGGUAUUUCUGAUCCGGCCAUGCUCGAGUGCAUGGCGAUCAGGGAGGCGUUGGCCCUGGCGGAUGAUCUCAAUGUUUCAGCUGUACAAGUGGCGUCCGACUUGAAGGUGGUGGUCGAGGACAUCCAAGCCAACAACCCUACAGCUUAUGGUGCGAUCAUACAUGAAAUAAUAGAGCAUAGAUCAAAUUUCUCUUUAUGUAAUAUUAGCCACGAAUUUAGGAGUUCGAAUGUCGAAGCUCACAAACUCGCGAAGCACGCUUUAUCCCUUACGGCUGGCCGACAUAUUUGGUUGGGACAGCCGGACGGACUUUCUUUCGUCCAUGUAAACAUUGUGACGACGUAA